AUUGAACGCUGGCGGAAUGCUUUACACAUGCAAGUCGAACGGCAGCACGGGAGCAAUCCUGGUGGCGAGUGGCGAACGGGUGAGUAAAGUAUCGGAACGUGCCCAGUCGUGGGGGAUAACGUAGCGAAAGUUACGCUAAUACCGCAUACGAUCUAUGGAUGAAAGCGGGGGAUCGCAAGACCUCGCGCGAUUGGAGCGGCCGAUAUCAGAUUAGGUAGUUGGUGGGGUAAAGGCUCACCAAGCCGACGAUCUGUAGCUGGUCUGAGAGGACGACCAGCCACACUGGGACUGAGACACGGCCCAGACUCCUACGGGAGGCAGCAGUGGGGAAUUUUGGACAAUGGGCGCAAGCCUGAUCCAGCCAUGCCGCGUGCAGGAUGAAGGCCUUCGGGUUGUAAACUGCUUUUGUACGGAACGAAAAGGUUUGACUUAAUACGUUGGACUCAUGACGGUACCGUAAGAAUAAGCACCGGCUAACUACGUGCCAGCCGCCGCUGUAA
rnacentral:rRNA from 1 species